rnacentral:rRNA from 1 species
GACGAACGCUGGCGGCGUGCUUAACACAUGCAAGUCGAACGGAAAGGCCCUGCUUUUGUGGGGUGCUCGAGUGGCGAACGGGUGAGUAACACGUGAGUAACCUGCCCUUGACUUUGGGAUAACUUCAGGAAACUGGGGCUAAUACCGGAUAGGAGCUCCUGCUGCAUGGUGGGGGUUGGAAAGUUUCGGCGGUUGGGGAUGGACUCGCGGCUUAUCAGCUUGUUGGUGGGGUAGUGGCUUACCAAGGCUUUGACGGGUAGCCGGCCUGAGAGGGUGACCGGCCACAUGGGGACUGAGAUACGGCCCAGACGCCUACGGGAGGCAGCAGUGGGAAAUAUUGCACAAUGGGCGGAAGCCUGAUGCAGCAACGCCGCGUGCGGGAUGACGGCCUUCGGGUUGUAAACCGCUUUCGCCUGUGACGAAGCGUGAGUGACGGUAAUGGGUAAAGAAGCACCGGCUAACUACGUG